CCCCCUGUGACUCAGUUGGUAGAGCAUGGUGUUUGCAACGCCAGGGUUGUGGGUUCAAUUCCCACGGGGGGC
rnacentral:tRNA from 1 species